GAUUGUUGAACUGGUCACUGGGUUACCAGGUUCAUCUGCUCCUGCUCUCAGACCCAGGCUUGUGUAACCAGAAAGUAUGUGGGAGUCUGCACGGGAAGAAGCCAUGCUGCAGCAAUUUGAGGUCUAACCAGCCUAUACCUCAGGCUACGUCUCUAACAGCGGCUUUCGAAAGGGAUGAUGAGAAACGACCUGAUGCAGGCUGGAGGAACAAAAUGUCAUGGAAACACCACCUCGCAGCUCCCUCCCCAGCAGCAAUAGUAAAUAUUUGAUCAGUGUGUACUUUCCAUUCAGCUCAGCAUCCUCGGGCUGGCUUGGCACAUCUGUUUUUUUGGAGAAGUCUUACAUCUGUGAUAACGUGGUCGCAAAAUGGUAAAGUGGACCUUCCCAAAGAACUUUGGUAAGUUGUUUUAGGAA